AUUUAAAUAGUUUAAUUUAAAACAUUGAUUUGUGGUGUCAAAAAUAUAUUUAUUAAAUAUUUUAAAUC
rnacentral:tRNA from 1 species